rnacentral:rRNA from 1 species
GACGAACGCUGGCGGCGUGCCUAAUACAUGCAAGUCGAACGCUUCGUUCAUCCCGAGUCCUUGCACUCCAUUGGCAGUGGGAGUCGCGGACGUGUGAGUAACACAUGGGUAACCUACCCAUCAGGGGGGGAUCACACUUGGAAACAGGUUCUAAUACCGCAUAACAGUUUAUUCCGCAUGACUUAAUAGUGAAAUGCACUUUCAGCUGUCGCUGAUGGAUGGACCUGCGAUGACUUAGCUAGUUGGGUAGGUAACGGCUCACCAAGGCCACGAUGCAUAGCCGACCUGAGAGGGUGAUCGGACACACUGGGACUGCGACACGGCCCAGACUCCUACGGGAGGCAGCAGUAGGGAAUCUUCGGCAAUGGACGAAAGUCUGACCGAGCAACGCCGCGUGAGUGAAGAAGGUUUUCGGAUCGUAAAACUCUGUUGUUAGAGAAGAACAAGGACGUUAGUAACUGAACGUCCCCUGACGGUAUCUAACCAGAAAGCCACGGCUAACUACGUG